AGAGUUUGAUCCUGGCUCAGAAUCAACGCUGGCGGCGUGCCUAACACAUGCAAGUCGAACGCGAAAGCCCCGAAAGGGGCAAGUAGAGUGGCAAACGGGUGAGUAACGCGUGGGUGACCUGCCUUCGAGCGGGGGAUAACGUUCCGAAAGGGACGCUAAUACCGCAUAACAUCCUGUCCUUGAACGGAUGGUGAUCAAAGCUGGGGAUUCGCAAGAACCCGGCACUUGAAGAGGGGCCCGCGUCUGAUUAGCUAGUUGGUGAGGUAACGGCUCACCAAGGCAACGAUCAGUAUCCGGCCUGAGAGGGCGGACGGACACACUGGGACUGAGACACGGCCCAGACUCCUACGGGAGGCAGC
rnacentral:rRNA from 1 species